rfam:Eimeria brunetti, Houghton, WGS project CBTX01000000 data, contig: Ebh_contig610_3
GCUGAUAUAGCUCAAAGGUAGAGCCACUGACUUGUAAUCAGAAGGUUGUGGGUUCGAUUCCCUUUAUCAGUU